UUGAACGCUGGCGGCAUGCUUUACACAUGCAAGUCGAACGGCAGCGGGGGCUUCGGCCCGCCGGCGAGUGGCGAACGGGUGAGUAAUGCAUCGGAACGUACCCAGUCGUGGGGGAUAACUACGCGAAAGCGUGGCUAAUACCGCAUACGCCCUGAGGGGGAAAGCGGGGGACCUUCGGGCCUCGCGCGAUUGGAGCGGCUGAUGUCGGACUAGCUAGUUGGUGGGGUAAAGGCCUACCAAGGCGACGAUCCGUAGCUGGUCUGAGAGGAUGAUCAGCCACACUGGGACUGAGACACGGCCCAGACUCCUACGGGAGGCAGCAGUGGGGAAUUUUGGACAAUGGGGGCAACCCUGAUCCAGCCAUGCCGCGUGAGUGAAGAAGGCCUUCGGGUUGUAAACUGCUUUUGUACGGAACGAAACGGUUCUCUUUAAUAAAGAGGGCUAAUGACGGUACCGUAAGAAUAAGCACCGGCUAACUACGU
rnacentral:rRNA from 1 species